rnacentral:rRNA from 1 species
UGUAACGGGGCUAAACCAUGCACCGAAGCUGCGGCAGCGACACUCAGGUGUUGUUGGGUAGGGGAGCGUUCUGUAAGCCUGUGAAGGUGGCCUGUGAGGGUUGCUGGAGGUAUCAGAAGUGCGAAUGCUGACAUAAGUAACGAUAAAGCGGGUGAAAAGCCCGCUCGCCGGAAGACCAAGGGUUCCUGUCCAACGUUAAUCGGGGCAGGGUGAGUCGACCCCUAAGGCGAGGCCGAAAGGCGUAGUCGAUGGGAAACGGGUUAAUAUUCCCGUACUUGGUGUUACUGCGAAGGGGGGACGGAGAAGGCUAUGUUGGCCGGGCGACGGUU